rnacentral:tRNA from 1 species
GGAGAGGUGCGAGAGCGGCCGAAUCGGACGGUCUCGAAAACCGUAGUCCUGAAAGGGACCGUGGGUUCGAAUCCCACCCUCUCCGCCA